rnacentral:ncRNA from 1 species
GUGAGACAGUUCGUUUCCUAUCUACCAUUGGUGUUGAAGGGAGAACUGCGAGGAUCCAACCCUAGUACGAGAGGACUGGGUUGGGCCAACCUAUGGUGUACCGGUUGUCACGCCUAGCAGCAUGGGGACCAAGUUGGUAUGGAAGAACUGUUGAAAGCAUCUAAGCGGGAAAUCCUUCUCUAGACAAGUUCUUGUAUGAGGUGAAAGAACAUCACUUCGAUAGGUGAUAGGUGUAAGCACCGCGAGGUGUGAAGCGAUAUCGUACUAAUUUUUUACUUAUUCCA